ACGCUGGCGGCGUGCCUAAUACAUGCAAGUCGAACGGUCUUUCUAUGGAAGCUUGCUUCCACUGAGAAGAUAGUGGCGAACGGGUGAGUAACACGUGGGUAACCUGCCCAUAAGAGGGGGAUAACAUCCGGAAACGGGUGCUAAUACCGCAUAGUUUUCUUGAUCGCAUGAUUGAGAAAGGAAAGACGGCCUUUGUGCUAGUCGCUUAUGGAUGGACCCGCGGCGUAUUAGUUAGUUGGUGAGGUAACGGCUCACCAAGACGAUGAUACGUAGCCGACCUGAGAGGGUGAUCGGCCACAUUGGGACUGAGACACGGCCCAAACUCCUACGGGAGGCAGCAGUAGGGAAUCUUCCGCAAUGGACGAAAGUCUGACGGAGCAACGCCGCGUGAGUGAAAGAAGGUUUUCGGAUCGUAAAACUCUGUUGUCAGAGAAGAACAAGUUGGAGAGUAACUGCUCCAGCCUUGACGGUAUCUGACCAGAAAGCCACGGCUAACUACGUGCCAGCCGCCGC
rnacentral:rRNA from 1 species